rnacentral:rRNA from 1 species
UACGUAGGGGGCUAGCGUUGUCCGGAAUCAUUGGGCGUAAAGCGUGUGUAGGCGGCGGCCUAAGUACCUUGUGAAAUCCCACGGCUCACCCGUGGAACUGCUCGGUAUACUGGGUCGCUUGAGCCACUUAGGGGCUACCGGAACAAAUGGUGGAGCGGUGAAAUGCGUAGAUAUCAUUUGGAACGCCAAUGGUGAAAACAGGUAGCUGGGAGUGUGCUGACGCUGAGACACGAAAGCCAGGGGAGCAAACGGG